rnacentral:rRNA from 1 species
UACGUAGGCAGCGAGCGUUGUUCGGAGCUACUGGGCGUAAAGGGUGUGUAGGCGGUUUUCUAAGUUUGGUGUGAAAUCUCCCGGCUUAACCGGGAGGGUGCGCCGAAAACUGGGAGACUAGAGUGCGGGAUGGGAGAGUAGAAUUCCUGGUGUAGCGGUGAAAUGCGUAGAUAUCAGGAGGAAUACCGGUGGUGCAGACGGCUCUCUGGACCGCAACUGACGCUGAGACACGAAAGCGUGGGUAGCAAACAGG